rnacentral:rRNA from 1 species
CUACGGAGGGUGCGAGCGUUGUUCGGAAUCACUGGGCGUAAAGGGCGCGCAGGCGGUUUGUCAAGUCAGAUGUGAAAGGCCACGGCUCAACCGUGGAGGUGCAUCUGAAACUGGCAGACUUGAGUACCGGAGGGGAAAGUGGAAUUCCCGGUGUAGAGGUGAAAUUCGUAGAUAUCGGGAGGAACACCGGAGGCGAAGGCGACUUUCUGGACGGAUACUGACGCUGAGGCGCGAAAGCGUGGGGAGCAAACAGGAUUAGAAACCCCAGUAGUCC